rnacentral:rRNA from 1 species
CAGUCGCCGCGGGAAUACGAAGGGUGCAAGCGUUAAUCGGAAUUACUGGGCGUAGAGCGUGCGUAGGCGGUGAGUUAAGUCUGCUGUGAAAUCCCCGGGCUCAACCUGGGAAUGGCAGUGGAUACUGGCUCGCUAGAGUGUGUCAGAGGAUGGUGGAAUUCCCGGUGUAGCGGUGAAAUGCGUAGAGAUCGGGAGGAACAUCAGUGGCGAAGGCGGCCAUCUGGGACAACACUGACGCUGAGGCACGAAAGCGUGGGGAGCAAACAGGAUUAGAUACCCCCGUAGUCCCUGUCUCUUAUAC